CUCAAAGGAAUUGACGGGGGCCCGCACAAGCGGUGGAGCAUGUGGUUUAAUUCGACGCAACGCGAAGAACCUUACCCGGGCUUGAACUGCAGGUGAUCGGUCGUGAAAGCGGCUUUCCGCAAGGACACCUGUAGAGGUGCUGCAUGGCUGUCGUCAGCUCGUGUCGUGAGAUGUUGGGUUAAGUCCCGCAACGAGCGCAACCCUUGUCCGCUGUUGCCGUCAGGUUAAGCUGGGCACUCUGCGGAGACUGCCGGUGACAAACCGGAGGAAGGUGGGGAUGACGUCAAGUCAGCAUGGCCUUUAUGUCCGGGGCUACACACGUGCUACAAUGGCCGGUACAAACCGCUGCAAACUCGCGAGAGUGAGCUAAUCGGAGAAAGCCGGUCUCAGUUCGGAUUGUAGGCUGCAACUCGCCUGCAUGAAGUCGGAAUCGCUAGUAAUCGCGGAUCAGCACGCCGCGGUGAAUACGUUCCCGGGCCUUGUACACACCGCCCGUCACAUCACGAAAGCUGGCUGUACUAGAAAUCGCUGAGCUAACCCGCAAGGGAGGCAGGCGCUUAAGGUAUGGUCAGUGAUUGGGGUGAAGUCGUAACAAGGUAACCGUA
rnacentral:rRNA from 1 species